rnacentral:rRNA from 2 species
GGGUUGUGAGGUUAAGCGACUAAGCGUACACGGUGGAUGCCCUGGCAGUCAGAGGCGAUGAAGGACGUGCUAAUCUGCGAUAAGCGCCGGUAAGGUGAUAUGAACCGUUAUAACCGGCGAUUUCCGAAUGGGGAAACCCAGUGUGAUUCGUCACACUAUCAUUAACUGAAUCCAUAGGUUAAUGAGGCGAACCGGGGGAACUGAAACAUCUAAGUACCCCGAGGAAAAGAAAUCAACCGAGAUUCCCCCAGUAGCGGCGAGCGAACGGGGAGGAGCCCAGAGCCUGAAUCAGCAUGUGUGUUAGUGGAAGCGUCUGGAAAGGCGCGCGAUACAGGGUGACAGCCCCGUACACAAAAGCGCAUGUGCUGUGAGCUCGAUGAGUAGGGCGGGACACGUGGUAUCCUGUCUGAAUAUGGGGGGACCAUCCUCCAAGGCUAAAUACUCCUGACUGACCGAUAGUGAACCAGUACCGUGAGGGAAAGGCGAAAAGAACCCCGGCGAGGGGAGUGAAAAAGAACCUGAAACCGUGUACGUACAAGCAGUGGGAGCACCCUUUGGGG